rnacentral:lncRNA from 1 species
CCAUUCAGGUAACAGUGGUACUGGGCCAGAGCCCUUUUCAGAUUACAAUAAACUGGGCCUUAACCCCUUAUUCAGAUAACAGUAUGGCCCAUAGGCCCAUUUCAAAAUACAUGCAACAUCAGUAAACAUAUGCAAGCCCAUUUGGGGAGACUACUCAACCCACCAACCACUACACUCCACCCAUACCAGCCAUACACUCCAUGUGGGGAAUAGCUCAACCCACCCAGCCCAACACUCCACAGUUGCAGCCUUGCUGCUCAGUUAACAGUAAAUUGAGGCAAAGCCUCCAGUAC